rnacentral:rRNA from 1 species
GACAACCAGGAGGUUGGCUUAGAAGCAGCCAUCCUUGAAAGAGUGCGUAAUAGCUCACUGGUCAAGUGGUUCCGCGCCGACAAUGUAGCGGGGCUUAAGCACACCGCCGACGCCGCGGCAGUCCAUCGUGGUCCUAGCCUGUCCGUUGGGCGGGUUCAGGGGGUGGGCUGGGUAGGGGAGCGUCCCGCGUUGGGUGAAGUCUCGGGGUGACCCGGGGUGGACGGCGUGGGAGUGAGAAUGCAGGCAUGAGUAGCGAGAGGCGGGUGAGAAACCCGUCCGCCGAUUGACUAAGGGUUCCAGGGCCAGGUUGAUCCGCCCUGGGUUAGUCGGGUCCUAAGGCGAGGCCGACGGGCGUAGUCGAUGGACAACGGGUUGAUAUUCCCGUACCGGCGCUUGACCGUUCAAUGUUCGCCGGGGUGAUGCUAACCAUCCCCGAUCCUGUGUGUCUCUUUCGGGAGGCGUGUGGGGGAGGGCGUGGGGUCCGAGCCUGGGUGGGCAAGCGUGGUAACAGGUGUGACGCAGAGUGGUAGUCCAACCGUGUCGUAUGGCUGAGCACGGCUAAGGGUGCAGCCCGUCUCCCAGGUAAAUCCGGGGGGCGUUCGGGUCAGGCCUGAUGGGGACCGUUUGACGGGAAGUGGAUGAUCCUGUGCUGCCGAGAAAAGCAUCGACGUCAGGGCAAGCGCCGCCCGUACCCGAAACCGACACAGGUGGUCAGGUAGAGUAUACCGAGGCGUGCGAGUCAAUCGUGGUUAAGGAACUCGGCAAAAUGCCCCCGUAACUUCGGGAGAAGGGGGGCCCCGGUCUUGACGUCCCCGUGCGGGGCGGAGGGGUCGGGGCCGCAGAGUCCAGGGAGAAGCGACUGUUUAUCAAAAACACAGGUCCGUGCUAAGCCGCAAGGCGAUGUAUACGGACUGACGCCUGCCCGGUGCUGGAAGGUUAAGCGGACUGGUCAGCCCUUCGGGGUGAAGCUGGGAAGUUAAGCCCCAGUAAACGGCGGUGGUAACUAUAACCAUCCUAAGGUAGCGAAAUUCCUUGUCGGGUAAGUUCCGACCUGCACGAAUGGCGUAACGACUUCUCCGCUGUCUCAACCAUGAACUCGGUGAAAUUGCAGUACGAGUAAAGAUGCUCGUUUCGCGCAGCAGGACGGAAAGACCCCGGGACCUUUACUAUAGCUUGGUAUUGGUGUUCGGUACGGCUUGUGUAGGAUAGGUGGGAGACUGUGAACCGGUCACGCUAGUGGGCGGGGAGUCGUUGGUGAAAUACCACUCUGGCCGUGCUGACCAUCUAACCUCGGUCCGUGAUCCGGGCCAGGGACAGUGCCUGGUGGGUAGUUUAACUGGGGCGGUUGCCUCCUAAAGGGUAACGGAGGCGCUCAAAGGUUCCCUCAGCCUGGUCGGCAACCAGGUGGCGAGUGUAAGUGCACAAGGGGGCUUGACUGUGAGACUGACGGGUCGAGCAGGUACGAAAGUAGGAACUAGUGAUCCGGCGAUCCCGUGUGGGUGGGUCGUCGCUCAACGGAUAAAAGGUACCCCGGGGAUAACAGGCUGAUCCUGCCCAAGAGUCCAUAUCGACGGCAUGGUUUGGCACCUCGAUGUCGGCUCGUCGCAUCCUGGGGCUGGAGUCGGUCCCAAGGGUUGGGCUGUUCGCCCAUUAAAGCGGUACGCGAGCUGGGUUCAGAACGUCGUGAGACAGUUCGGUCCCUAUCCGCUGCGCGCGUAGGAGAAUUGAGAAGGGCUGUCCCUAGUACGAGAGGACCGGGACGGACGAACCUCUGGUGUGCCAGUUGUUCCGCCAGGAGCAUGGCUGGUUGGCUACGUUCGGGAGGGAUAACCGCUGAAAGCAUCUAAGCGGGAAGCCUGCUUCAAGAUAAGUUCUCCAUCCAGCCUGUGUGCUGGGUGAGGUCCCCCGCAGACGACGGGGUUGAUAGGCCGGACGUGGACGCCUCGUAAGGGGUGGAGCUGACCGGUACUAAUGGACCGACCGCCUACACCAU